AACGAACGCUGGCGGCAGGCUUAACACAUGCAAGUCGAACGCCCCGCAAGGGGAGUGGCAGACGGGUGAGUAACGCGUGGGAAUCUACCUAGUUCUACGGAACAACAGAGGGAAACUUCUGCUAAUACCGUAUACGCCCUAUGGGGGAAAGAUUUAUCGGAAUUAGAUGAGCCCGCGUAAGAUUAGCUAGUUGGUGAGGUAAUGGCUCACCAAGGCGACGAUCUUUAGCUGGUCUGAGAGGAUGAUCAGCCACACUGGGACUGAGACACGGCCCAGACUCCUACGGGAGGCAGCAGUGGGGAAUAUUGGACAAUGGGCGCAAGCCUGAUCCAGCCAUGCCGCGUGAGUGAUGAAGGCCUUAGGGUUGUAAAGCUCUUUCAGUAGGGAAGAUAAUGACGGUACCUACGGAAGAAGCCCCGGCUAACUUCGUGCCAGCCGCCGCCGUAACAC
rnacentral:rRNA from 1 species